UACAGAGGGUGCAAGCGUUAAUCGGAAUUACUGGGCGUAAAGCGUGCGUAGACGGUUAUUUAAGUCGGGUGUGAAAUCCCCGGGCUCAACCUGGGAAUUGCAUUCGAUACUGGAUAGCUAGAGUUCGGCAGAGGGAAGUGGAAUUUCCGGUGUAGCGGUGAAAUGCGUAGAUAUCGGAAGGAACAUCAGUGGCGAAAGCGACUUCCUGGACCAGAACUGACGUUCAGGCACGAAAGCGUGGGGAGCAAACAGG
rnacentral:rRNA from 1 species